GGAGGUUGAGUGCAUGAGCAAUUCUAACAGGGAGAUUCGGGCUGGCAUGAGAUUCAAUUGUUCCACCACUUUGUAUUCACUUUGUUGUAUAAAAUUUCAAAAACUCGCAAGCCUCUUCCUCAGAUAUUUCCUUUUUGUCCUCCUUAUCGAGGGUCUCCUCCGUCUGCACAAACUUCCCCUUCACGAGUUCCUUAGCUCUUCCGGCCAUUGUUGCUUCAUUAUUGCUAGUUCCUUCUUUCAUCAAAGUCGGUGGUGCGAAGAUUCGACCACUCCUUGUCAUUUCGUCGAUGCUUGAUAUAUUUUCAAUAGUUG
rnacentral:lncRNA from 1 species